UACGGGGGGGGCAAGCGUUGUUCAGAAUUACUGGGCGUAAAGGGCUCGUAGGUGGCCAACUAAGUCGGACGUGAAAUCCCUCAGCUUAACCGGGGAACUGCGUCUGAUACUGGUUGGCUUGAGUUUGGGAGAGGGACGCGGAAUUCCAGGUGUAGCGGUGAAAUGCGUAGAUAUCUGGAGGAACACCGGUGGCGAAGGCGGCGUCCUGGACCAAUACUGACACUGAGGAGCGAAAGCCAGGGGAGCAAACGGG
rnacentral:rRNA from 1 species